AAAAAUGAAAGGAGUCCAGGGAUUUAUUUUCACAAAAGGUUUUAUUUAACAAAUCAAUUCUAAACUGUCUGUUUUAUGAAUAUAUAUUAGUCUAUAUUGUGACCAAAUUAAAGUUAGAGAAGUCAGUUCAGAGAGAUUGGAAGAAAGUUUCAUGAUCAUAGCUGUCGUUUCCACAUAUAAAAGGCAACAUUCUAACUGGACCUUGUGAUGUUUUCUAUAUAUAGUGUUAUUGAUUAUCCUUUUUUCCAAAUGUAGAGAUGAUAUUACUUAGCUUGAGAGAUCUUACGUACAGGUAAUGAGCAUAGUCUAGUUUGAAUGUCAUUUUUUAUUUGCAAUUAAAAAUAUGAGGGUGAAUGGGAGGCUGUUCCCUCUUAGUGUGUUCACUCUCCAACAAGUUCCCAGAAAAUAUCCACUUAUGUGCUUAUUGCAAGCAUCAAAUGCAAGAACAAAAUGCUAAAUAACUGUUGGAUGUAGUAGUUCUUACGUAUACUAAAGUUCUUCGUAUCUCAAUUUAUAAUGAAUGAAACUAUUUCUUACUUAAAUUAAAUAUAUGCAGAUUUCUUUCUGCAAAAGAGAACUGGUAUUGAGCUAAUUUAGUUUCUUUUCCAUUCUGAAACUGCAAUGGAAAAGUAAUAGAGUUUAGUGUAUUAAAUUGUAUGAAUAUCUUUUUACUUUUUUGCAAAAACAUAAUUUGAGACAUUAAAUUGAUUAUCUGCUACCUGAAACAUAGUGGAUAAUAACAUUCUGCAUAGACUCUGUAUAAAUUGCUAGAGUCAUUUCUUGAAGAAUAUAUUCAUAGAUGGAAAUGAUUUGCAGUCUUGAUGAGCUUUUCUCGGUGAUGGUAAGAAGUAUAUCACAAAAGAACUUCUGCCACCUGUACAGCUGAAAAGAAGCCUGUGUUUGGCAUAUCACAGGCACUUGUGCAAUUAUUGAGCUACACUGGGUUUGAAAACAUAGUUUAUUUUGGAGUAUGUUCUUCAUAUAUCUACUUUCUAGUGGAUAAUGGGGCUUUCCUUGCAUGUGAAAUGGAUUUACCUGGGCUUCAUAAAUUACAAUGUAACUUACAUCUGAUAUGGUCCCAAAAUAUUUUGUCUUAUAAUUUGACUCUUAAAACUAUGACUUCAAAUACUCUUACUAAAAAAGAAAGCAAAAAACUCUUUCCCUGGUUGUAUAGUUCCAAACAUUUAAGUUAAUCCAAAGAAGAAAAAGGCAGCUUACUUUGAAACAGGAAGGAUAACAAAUGUACAGCGUGCUGAUUGUGGACUUCUCAAUUACCUCAGCAGGUCCCCUGCCUUGUACUUACUAGUGAUUAGUGUUAGUUUAACCAGCUAAGUAUGUUCAGGUCUUACUUAACUGUGCCCUACAAUUAAGUGUCCUAUCAUAUACUAUUAAGGCUGAUUUACUAUCCAAAAAAGGUGGCUUUGCCCCUAGCUUUUAAAGUAGAUACUGUAUGCUGUAAAAUGUAGAUAGCCUUUUUCAUGAGAAAAAUUCCCAUUAAUAAUAUUUGAAGUGGCAUUGACUGUCGACGUACUCAAUACUGGAUAGAAGAGCAGAAUGUUUUAUAAACAUUUUUGCAAGCCACUGCAUCAAAGUAGUAUUUUUUAACAAAUCACCCCAAUUUGCGAUUCUGUUGUAUAAUGUAGUUUUAUUAGACAGUCCCAUUUACGUAAAAGUUAUGGCAACACUAUCUUGAAGUUGAAAAUGUAACGUGCUGGAUGUAGGCUUUCUCUCUUUCUUUUUCCACUUCUUAGCAAAAAAGCAAUAAAACUGCUUUAUCUGUUGCCUGUUUAGCAUGGCAGGAGUCCAUUUCCUUUGGGUAGUGGUUUUAUAGGAAAGUUUUUGUAUGUGUAUCACCCAAGUCUAGCUUUUAACAAAUAAAGUGUGCAGUUAUAGUGUGGCAUUUUAUUUUAAAAAUUGGGGAAAGUUAACAUAUUUUUUUAAGAAGUAGGUGUUUCAGUAAAUAAUGGAAGUACUUUUUUAAAAACUUUAUAUGCCACAAUUUACAUAGACCUAUUUCAAAGUAAUUCAUAAGAUUGUGAUUUUGGAUAUGGCCACCACUUCUUUGCUUCAGUGAUGCAUGUGCAGUAACUCCACUCAUUUGUUGGUUUUUGUGUCCGCCUAUUUGCUAGUCUACUUUUAAAAUGCAUCCUAAUCAAAAUUGUUUUGAAAAAUUGAAGUUAUUUUGAUUUCUUAAUUUAGUAGCUGAUUGACAAUGAUAACACACAACUUUCUCUUUUCUAUUCAGUUCUUUUUCAAGUAGGGAGCUGCUCUUUUCUUUUAAAAUAAUCUGUGACUUUGUAUAAACAAAUUCAAAGAAUUUUAUAGAUCUUUACCCGUUUCAGCAUUCCCGUAGUGUGAAGAUAAAUUUUGAAAUGGAAAAUGAUGCAUGUUAAAGGCCUGCCAAUGUAGGCGUUUGUUAAUUCAAAAUGCCAUUAAACAUGUAUAUAUGAGGUCGAUAAAGAUUUGUGCAAUUGAAAGCCUGUUUUAAUUUUAUAUGUAAACAUACAAAUCAAAGGGUUCAAUUCCCAGUAUUCUUUCUUUCUGGUAAUUAAAACUGGUACUUUUUGCACAUAGUUAACUUUACUGAUUCUUUUUAAAAAGUGCUGUUUCUGUGGUGUUGUAUUCUCUGAAUAAUAUUUAAUUUUUUUUAACAAGUUAACGUUUCUAAUUGUUCAGUUCCUGUGUUUUUUGGCUGAUGUGUAAUAAAAGCAUUUUUCUUUACAUGAUUAUUUAAUACAUUUAGCAACCUGUAAAUAUUUCUUGUUAAGUGCUCUGGAAUGUGGUGUAGCAAUUGUAUUAGAACAGUUUUAAAAAGCAUUGUUUUGAAAACCACUUUGUUUUGGUUAUUUCUAUUAAAUUAGAAAAGGAAGAACUUUUCAAAUGAGUAUUGUUUUGUAAAUUCAAGGCCUCCCUAGACCUAUUGAUACUGUUAUUUGAUAUAUUAUUAGCAUGGGAAAAUUAUGAAAAUUUGGCUAGCAUCUACACAGUGUCUUAAGAAUAAGGGUUAUGAUUUAACAUUAUUAAAUACACACACAAGCCUUUUACAAUAUCUCUAUAUGAUGGAUAUAAUUUAUUUAAACAUUAGUUUAAACAUACAUACAGAAAUAAAUUCUCAAUGUACACACUAUGAUAUUUUACUUUGGAAACAGAAUGAGAUUGAAGAGAUAACAUCUUAGUUGUUAAGAAAAAAAAUAUUUUCCAUCUUUCUAUUCAGGGUGCCCUUUCACUUUGAAUAUUGUAUUCUAUAAUAUUAACUGUCCUGUGUUUUAUUCACCAGUUUUGUACCUGAGUGUAAAUAGAUGAACUGAUGUCAAAGGUUAUUUGCGGAUUUCAUUUAAUUAUGAUUGAUACAGAGACUAUGGAUAAGAAUGGAAACCUUUAUAGAAACUAAGCAAUGUUGUUGCAUUACUUAAUGAAAUGUGAAGAGCUUGACUUGCAAAUUAGCUUUGUUCCUUGCUAUGUUACCUCGUCACAUAUAGAUUUUUGCUUGUGUGUGUUUGGAAGGUUUUUUUUUCCACAAAUGAAUAUAUGCUUAGCCACUGUGAAGUGCGAACAAUAUUGGUUUGCAUAGUUAACUCCUAUCUGGAAUCCAUAAAUCCAAGAUCCAAACUUCACUAUCAAACUGACUACAAUGCUGAAUUUGUUAUCCUUGAAGAAGUUUCUGGGACAAAUAGGUACUGUUAUGAGUUGCUCAGAUGGGAAGUGCAAUCCAUUUUUCUCUUUGAGAAUCAAGAACAGGGUUUAUUCCUUACCAGCCCAUCUGCUCUCUGCUCUGCCCUGGUAUUUGGUUUAGCUAACUUUAUGUAUUGGAUUUAGUGAUUUCAUCCUCUUGUAUUAUCUCAGUUUAACCUCUUGAAAAGAAAUGCACUUCUUGUAAUAUUUUAUGGAGAAGCUGGAAUGUUAAUCUUUGGAAUGUAUAGUCUUUUUUUUCUUUAUGUACUCUCCACCUAGUCUCUCUUUACUGCUAGUGAGAUUUUUGUUUGUAUUCCACAAAUGGGCAAGCUACAUACCAGCAAACAAUAGAUCUUUUUGGUUGUUGGCUUACCAUAUUGCGAGCCCUGCAAGUGGAAAGAGGAUAGGAUAGAAAUAAUAUAACAUUCUUUAUUAGGAUGUUACUUCAGUUUUGGCAUCUGUUGUGGUGAAAGAAGAUAGUUAUGUUCAUGAAAAGAAGAACUUUCUGAAAAAAGGUAUUUCCAUUUAAACUGAUUGGGAAAUAAAGUUUUAAUUACUGCCAUAUACUAAAAGCAAAGAAGAUGGCUGGAGGCCAUUCUCCCUAUCAUUAUCUUUGUUAAAACUUCAAUAAUUGCAUAUCUGAAGAGACUAGAAAGGUUUACUGGAGUAUGCGAAUAUCUUUAUAAGGUUGCCUUUUUCAAACAAAAUACUUUUGAACUAGCUGCAUUUAAAGUCUGUAAACUCCCUAAGAAACAUAUAAUGGAAUAAACACAUUGCCAAACAUUAGAGAGGAGGUAAGAGUCCUAGCUAGUGAGAUUAAAAAAAACUAUUAGAGCCAAGUCUAAGUAUUCUGCCAACAGUAAAGAUGCUAUGACAUAAUAGGCCCUUUUCCCAGAUUUCUUUGGCUAAUCUCAGAAGAUAGAAAAGCAUCAGAGAUGAUGUUUAAGUUCAUAUUGAAGCAUUAGAAAUCCCAAUUUGACAUUAUAUAUAGGAUAAAAAGUGUAACACCUUUAAUAAUGCCUUAAGGCACAUUGGAAAACUUUCUGAAACGAAUGUACAGCCUGUAAAGUUGUUUAAACAUUAGGAGGGAGGUGGAAAAUUACAUUGCAUAAUCAGUUCCAUAACUAUUCUGCACUGAAGACUACGGAAAGGAUCUUUGGACAAUAUUGGCCCCCUCGGCUAAGUAAAUUAUACUAGAUUACAACAGAGUGGUGCAAUGGCUCAGUGGUUAAGACACUGGAUUUAUUGGCUGGAAAGCCGACAGCUUGGGUUUGAGACCCGAGCAUUGCAUGAAGGGUUGAACUCCCGUCCUUGCUCUAGCUCCUGCCAAUCUAGCAGUUUGAAAGCAUGCAUAUGCGAGUGGAUAAAUAGUUACCAUAUGCUGGGAAAGUAACAGUGCUCUGUGACAUCAUGCUAGCCACAAGACCAUGAAAAUGUUCUCAGACAAGGACAAGGCUGGCCCUUGAAACAGAUGAGCACUGCCCCCUAUAAUCAGCAACUACUAGCAGAGUAAAACCGCAGGGGCUCCUUUAGUUUACAACAAUAGUACUGCUAUUUGGAUCACUUAGGAAGAGUGACCUGAAGAUAAAAAAAAAAUUGAACUGUUUUCUGAGAAACUGUUUGUAGUGUUCUUAUUUUACUUCUUUAUUCUAUAGUGAAUCAUGCAGUUUAUCCUGUGUUAGUCUGGUUUAUUACACAUUUGACAAUAAAUGCUGAACACUGUUUUUUUCCAUCAAAAUAUUGUCUCCUUGCAGUCACAUUUUAUUUAUUAGGCAACCAGCGAAAGUGUUUAUGAGAGGGGAAGAAUGAAGAUAUUUCUUUACUGUGGCAAGAUUGGGACACGGAAAUGUUUACUUCUUGGAAGUAGUUAAAAAGGUAAAUUCAAGGAGGAGACAAUGUGAAUAACCUGAAAUAAGAGGUUUCCCUCACUUUAUAGGCAUUCACUAAUAUGUGAAUUUGCUAUUAUGAAAGUGAUUGUUUUUGUCUAGGAAUUCACUUUAUUAUGAAAAAAAAAUCUUAUUUGGGAUUUGUGCCAGCAUAGCUAUUUUGCUGGUCCAGAAACAUGCCAAGAUUUCUUCCCAUCAAAAUCAUUUGAAUAUUUUCCCACUAAAAUCCCUCACUCAUGCAUUUACCGUCAUUUUGUACAGUUGUUCUGACUAUGUCUUGUCUCAGUUACUUCUAUAUCUAGAAUACUUACUACAUUUACAGUGGAGUCAAAAUGUCCAUUGACAACUUUUGCAAUCCCUUUACCCAAAAUGAAAAGAGGAAAAAAACCCUUGCUAAGAUUAGAAACAAAAUUGGAUACGUUACAUUGCAUCGAAGCUGAUAAAGAAGCCUCAAUCCUAUGAUAUGUUUUUAACCUGGGUGAAUUUACUGUUUGCAACAUAACAAAUGGUGCCAAUAAAAUUUGUAGUGCUGUGA